rnacentral:rRNA from 1 species
UACGUAGGGGGCAAGCGUUGUCCGGAAUCAUUGGGCGUAAAGCGCGUGUAGGCGGCUCGGUAAGUCUGCUGUGAAAGUCCAGGGCUCAACCCUGGGAUGCCGGUGGAUACUGUCGAGCUCGAGUCCGGAAGAGGCGAGUGGAAUUCCUGGUGUAGCGGUGAAAUGCGCAGAUAUCAGGAGGAACGCCAAUGGCGAAGGCAGCUCGCUGGGACGUGACUGACGCUGAGACGCGAAAGCGUGGGGAGCAAACAGG